rnacentral:tRNA from 1 species
UCCCCGGUAGCUCAGUCGGUAGAGCGGUCGGCUGUUAACCGAUUGGUCGCUGGUUCGAAUCCGGCCCGGGGAG